rnacentral:rRNA from 1 species
GAAAUGCGAUAAGUAAUGUGAAUUGCAGAAUUCAGUGAAUCAUCGAAUCUUUGAACGCACCUUGCGCCCCUUGGUUAAAAUCCGAGAGGCAUGCCUGUUUGAGUGUCAUGUUAACAUCAAACCCCUUGCUUGUAAAGGCUCGGGGCUUGGAUUUGGAGGUUUAUGCCGGCCUGCUUCAUUGUCAGUUGUCGGCUCCUCUUAAAUGCAUUAGCUGGACUUUGGUCUGCGUGUCGGCGUAAUAGUAAUAUGUUUGCCAAUCGCUUUCCUAAUGGGUCUGCUUCUAAUGGUCUUCGGACAAGGUCUUUAACAGCCUUCUUUGACUCUAUGACCUCAAAUCAGGUAGGACUACCCGCUGAACUUAA